GGAUUAGGCAUGCAAGUCGAGCGGAUCCGUUGGGUACUCGAGCGGGUAAGGGACAGUAAGUCAGGGUCACGUGCCUUCAGGACUGGGAUAGCUGCGGGAAACUGCAAUUAAUACCAGAUAACGUCUCCGGACCAAAGGUGUGAGUCCGCCUGGAGAGCGGCCCAUAUCCUAUUAGCUAGUUGGUGGGGUAAUGGCCUACCAAGGCAAAGAUGGGUAGCAGGUGUGAGAGCACGACCUGCGUCACUGGGACUGAGAACUGCCCAGACACCUACGGGUGGCUGCAGUCGAGAAUCUUCGGCAAUGGGCGCAAGCCUGACCGAGCGACGCCGCGUGUGGGAUGAAGGCCUUCGGGUUGUAAACCACUGUCGGAGGGGAUGAAAUACCGGUAGGUACUCCUAUCGGUUUGACUGAUCCUCGGAGGAAGGGUGGGCUAAGUUCGUGCCAGCAGCCGCGGUAAGACGUACCACCCAAACGUUAUUCGGAAUCACUGGGCUUACAGAGUCCGUAGGCGGCUCGGAAAGUUGGGCGUGAAAUACCUCAGCUCAACUGAGGAAUUGCGAUCAAAACUACCGAGCUUGAGAGAGACAGAGGUGAGCGGAACUGAUGGUGGAGCGGUGAAAUGCGUUGAUAUCAUCAGGAACACCGGUGGCGAAGGCGGCUCACUGGGUCUUUUCUGACGCUGAGGGACGAAAGCUGGGGUAGCGAACGGGAUUAGAUACCCCCGGUAGUCCUAGCCUUAAACGAUGAGCACUAGAUCGAGGGGACCCUCACAUCCUCUUUGGUCGUACGGAAACUGUUAAGUGCUCCGCCUGGGGGAGUAUGGGUCCGCAAGGCUUGAAACUCAAAGGACUUUGACGGGG
rnacentral:rRNA from 1 species